GGCAUAUUUAGUUUAUGCGGAUGUGUGCAGCAACUACGACUUGAAGUAGAUCCACCUUUUAUUAUACCAAUCGAUACGGGAUCGAUUUAGGCUUGUUUGUCUGUUUGUUGUGUUUUAUUCAACCUGCUGCCCGCAAAUUUUUCAGAUAUUUUGAUGAAACCUAAUAUAAUGAUGUGUUUUAGCAUUAUUGAAAAUAAUUUGGAUUGGACCACUUUCCGUAUGACGCAUUAUUUUGAAAAGUAAAUUUAUGAAUAAUUGCAAUAUGGUGUAGGGUAUUUGCCGAUGUGCCAUGCUCCACUAUACUGCUCUAAAUAUUUUAAUACAUUAAAAAUAAUCAUUUUAUUGAAAUUUUUAAGCAUAUAAAAGCAUACCAUUAAACAUUUUAUAAAAUUUUAAUUUAAAAAUUUUGAAAAAUAAACUGUCAAGAUGGUCGUUUUGGAAGAUGCUUUGACCGAGUCGGUCCCAAUGACCGACAGAAAAAGACGUGGCAGCCUUAUCUAAAGUUAAAAAUUCUACGAAAUCGUGCGCACCGACUUUCAAAAUCGAGUUUUGAGCAAAAAACAAUUAACAUUCGAGAAUCUAGUUCAGACUGCUACACGAAAAAAAGGAAUUUUUUGAAAUUCCAAAGAGAAUAUAACCUUAUACUUUGUGAGGUGCUGUAAUUAAUUCAUGUAAGUUCAACAAUAUUGGGCCAGCAAUUAAUUUAUUUUUAUUUUUUUCAUUUUGUAACAAAAACUACGCGGUAAGAGGCGCUAACAUGAACUUUUAUAUUGCUGUCGAUAUUGGUUCACACGCCGUUUUCGUUUAGAAACGAAUUCAGAAGAUUCCCAGUUAUAUUGCCUCCAACGCUUGUGCUCACAUUGAAAUAUGAUCCUCUUGGUGUCAUGACACAGGUGCACCUACACUCUGCAGCAGCCUACAGCAUCUUAUGCAACUGUUAAGUUUCUACAUUAAGAAAACGCUGAUACAAUCAAGUCUAUAAUCUCAAAAAGAAUGGAUGACCA